CACCUGUGUAUCCUACCUGUUGCUUCCGUGCCGCACACGCUGCGAAGCUGCCUCUGCGUCCGGGGUACCGAGUACUCCGGACCGCGAGGAGUCGGCACGAAAGGUCGACCAUGAACUCCUGCCUUUGAAUGUCUUCUGUCUGAACUCUGUAGUACACAAAAAGUUAAAAACUUUCAACAACGGAUCUCUUGGUUCUCGCAUCGAUGAAGAACGCAGCGAAAUGCGAUAAGUAGUGUGAAUUGCAGAAUUCCGUGAAUCAUCGAAUCUUUGAACGCACAUUGCGCCUCCUGGUAUUCCGGGAGGCAUGCCUGUUCGAGCGUCAUUAAAAAUCAAAUCGUAGCACGCCGGGACCGUGCUUGGUCGUGGAGGAAGAGAGUCCGUCUCGUUUCGCAAUCUCCCCUCCCAAAUUCAACGGCGGAAAGUCACUGGUACUCGGCGUAGUACUUAUCGUUCGUCGAUCGUCCAGUGUCGUUGUUGCCGUCAAACCCCCACAAUUCUCUUGAUUGACCUCGUAUCAGGUAGGGAUACCCGCUGAACUUAAGCAUAUCAAUAA
rnacentral:rRNA from 1 species